CCUACGGGAGGCAGCAGUGAGGAAUCUUGCGCAAUGGGGGAAACCCUGACGCAGCAACGCCGUGUGAGUGAUGAAGGCUUUCGGGUCGUAAAGCUCUGUCAAGUGGGAAGAACCUGCCGGAUGCCAAUACCAUCCGGCACUGACGGUACCACUGGAGGAAGCACCGGCUAACUCCGUGCCAGCAGCCGCGGUAAGACGGAGGGUGCAAGCGUUAUUCGGAAUUACUGGGCGUAAAGGGCGCGUAGGCGGCUCUUUAAGUCAGGCGUGAAAGCCCGGGGCUCAACCCCGGAAGUGCGUUUGAAACUGAGGAGCUUGAGUACGGGAGAGGGAAGUGGAAUUCCUGGUGUAGAGGUGAAAUUCGUAGAUAUCAGGAGGAACACCGGUGGCGAAGGCGACUUCCUGGACCGAUACUGACGCUGAGGCGCGAAAGCGUGGGGAGCAAACAGGAUUAGAGACCCUGGUAGUCCACGCCGUAAACGAUGAACACUAGGUGUAGCGGGUAUUGACCCCCGCUGUGCCGUAGCUAACGCAUUAAGUGUUCCGCCUGGGGACUACGGUCGCAAGGCUAAAACUCAAAUGAAUUGACGG
rnacentral:rRNA from 1 species